rnacentral:tRNA from 1 species
UGGGGUGCGGUCUGGACUCCCGGGUGUACCGGCUGGAUCCCGGUCCGGGAGUGCGGUGGUUCGACGUCGACUACCCCGA